GUCUACGGCCACACUAAUCUGAACGAGCCCGAGCCCCUCCGAUCUCAGAAGCUAAGCAGGGUUGGGUCUGGUUAGUACUUGGAGGAGGGACUACCUAGGAAGACCAGUUGCUGUAGGCA
rnacentral:rRNA from 1 species